GAUGAACGCUGGCGGCGUGCCUAAUACAUGCAAGUCGAGCGAACAGACGAGGAGCUUGCUCCUCUGACGUUAGCGGCGGACGGGUGAGUAACACGUGGAUAACCUACCUAUAAGACUGGGAUAACUUCGGGAAACCGGAGCUAAUACCGGAUAAUAUAUUGAACCGCAUGGUUCAAUAGUGAAAGACGGUUUUGCUGUCACUUAUAGAUGGAUCCGCGCCGCAUUAGCUAGUUGGUAAGGUAACGGCUUACCAAGGCAACGAUGCGUAGCCGACCUGAGAGGGUGAUCGGCCACACUGAAACUGAGACACGGUCCAGACUCCUACGGGAGGCAGCAGUAGGGAAUCUUCCGCAAUGGGCGAAAGCUUGACGGGGCAACGCCGCGUGAGUGAUGAAGGUCUUCGGAUCGUAAAACUCUGUUAUUAGGGAAGAACAAAUGUGUAAGUAACUAUGCACGUCUUGACGGUACCUAAUCAGAAAGCCACGGCUAACUACGUG
rnacentral:rRNA from 1 species